UGGACAGAAAGACCCUAUGAAGCUUUACUGUAGCUUGAGAUUGGCUCCGGGCUUUAUUUGCGCAGGAUAGGUGGGAGGCGUUGAAAAUUUCUUUGCGGGGAAAUUUGAGCCAUUGGUGAGAUACCACUCUAAUAAAGCUAGGAUUCUAACCCUAUACCGUUAUCCGGUUAGGGAACAGUCUCAGGUGGUCAGUUUGACUGGGGCGGUCGCCUCCUAAAAGGUAACGGAGGCGUGCAAAGGUUUCCUCAGACUGGUCGGAAAUCAGUCGAAGAGUGUAAAGGCAUAAGGAAGCUUGAUUGUGAGACCUACAAGUCGAACAAAGACGAAAGUCGGCCUUAGUGAUCCGGCGGUACCAAGUGGAAGGGCCGUCGCUCAACGGAUAAAAGUUACUCUAGGGAUAACAGGCU
rnacentral:rRNA from 1 species